AUUGAACGCUGGCGGCAUGCCUUACACAUGCAAGUCGAACGGCAGCACGGGUGCUUGCCCCUGGUGGCGAGUGGCGAACGGGUGAGUAAUACAUCGGAACAUGUCCUGUAGUGGGGGAUAGCCCGGCGAAAGCCGGAUUAAUACCGCAUACGAACUACGGAUGAAAGCGGGGGACCUUCGGGCCUCGCGCUAUAGGGUUGGCCGAUGGCUGAUUAGCUAGUUGGUGGGGUAAAGGCCUACCAAGGCGACGAUCAGUAGCUGGUCUGAGAGGACGACCAGCCACACUGGGACUGAGACACGGCCCAGACUCCUACGGGAGGCAGCAGUGGGGAAUUUUGGACAAUGGGCGAAAGCCUGAUCCAGCAAUGCCGCGUGUGUGAAGAAGGCCUUCGGGUUGUAAAGCACUUUUGUCCGGAAAGAAAUCCUUGGCCCUAAUACGGUCGGGGGAUGACGGUACCGGAAGAAUAAGCACCGGCUAACUACGUG
rnacentral:rRNA from 1 species